rnacentral:lncRNA from 1 species
AUGCUUAGCCUCGUCCACCCCAGCUGUAAAACUCAGAAACCAGUCUUACUUGUUAUCAUCUAUCGUCCACCUGGGCCUUACACAGAGUUUCUGUCUGAUUUCUCAGACUUUUUAUCUGAUUUAGUGCUCAGCUCAGAUAAAAUAAUUAUUGUGGGUGAUUUUAACAUCCAUGUAGAUGCUAAAAAUGACAGCCUCAACAUGGCAUUUAAUCUGUUAUUGGACUCAAUUGGCUUCUCUCAAACUGUAAAAGAACCCACCCACCACUUUAAUCACACUCUAGAUCUUGUUUUAACAUAUGACAUAGAAACUGAACAUUUAACAGUGUUUCCUGAAAACCCUCUGCUGUCUGAUCAUUUCCUGAUAACAUUUACAUUUACAAUAAUUGAUUACACAGCAGUGGAGAGUAGACUUUAUCACAGUAGAUGUCUUUCUGAAAGUGCUGUAACUAAGUUUAAGAAUAUAAUCCACCCACUGUUAUCAUCUUCAAUGCCCUGUACCAACAUAGAGCAGAGCAGCUACCUGAACGCUACUCCAACAGAGGUCGAUUAUCUUGUAAAUAAUUUUACCUCCUCACUACGUACGACUCUGGAUACUGUAGCUCCUGUGAAAACUAAGGCCUCAAAUCAGAAGUACCUGACUCCGUGGUAUAAUUCUCAAACACGUAGCCUAAAGCAGAUAACUCGUAAGCUGGAGAGGAAAUGGCGUGUCACAAAUUUAGAGGAUCAUCAUUUAGCCUGGAGAAAUAGUUUGUUGCUUUAUAAGAAAGCCCUCCGCAAAGCCAGAACAUCUUACUAUUCGUCACUGAUUGAAGAAAAUAAGAACAACCCCAGGUUUCUCUUCAGCACUGUAGCCAGGCUGACAAACAGUCAGAGCUCUACUGAGCCAACCAUCCCUUUAACGUUAACUAGUAAUGACUUCAUGAACUUCUUCACAAAUAAAAUUUUAAUCAUUAGAGAAAAAAUUACCAAUAAUCAUCUCACAGAUGUAAUAUUAUCUACAGCUACUUUUAGUACCAUCGAUGUUAAGUUAGACUCUUUUUCUCCAAUUGAUCUUUCUGAGUUAACUUCAAUAAUUACUUCCUCCAAACCAUCAACGUGUCUUUUAGACCCCAUUCCUACAAAACUGCUCAAAGAAGUCCUGCCAUUAAUUAAUUCUUCAAUCUUAAAUAUGAUCAACCUAUCUCUAAUAAUCGGCUAUGUACCACAGGCCUUCAAGCUGGCUGUAGUUAAACCUUUACUUAAAAAGCCAUCUCUAGACCCAGCUGUCUUAGCUAAUUAUAGGCCAAUCUCCAACCUUCCUUUCAUAUCAAACAUCCUUGAAAGAGUAGUUGUCAAACAGCUAACAGAUCAUCUGCAGAGGAAUGGCUUAUCUGAAGAGUUUCAGUCAGGUUUCAGAGCUCAUCACAGCACAGAAACAGCUUUAGUGAAGGUUACAAAUGAUCUUCUUAUGGCCUCUGACAGUGGACUCAUCUCUGUGCUUGUCCUGCUAGACCUCAGUGCUGCGUUCGAUACUGUUGACCAUAAUAUCCUAUUAGAGCGAUUAGAGCAUGCACUGUAA